rnacentral:RNase_P_RNA from 1 species
GUGAAAGAUGAUCGCGGCUAUCUGGGUGAUAGACGAGGAAAGUCCGAGCUCCAUAGGGCAGAAUGCCGGAUAACAUCCGGCGAGGGCGACCUCAGGGAAAGUGCCACAGAAAUGUGAACCGCCGGUUUCGGCCGGUAAGGGUGGAACGGUGCGGUAAGAGCGCACCAGCAAUCGAGUAAUCGAUUGGCUAGGUAAACCCCAUUCGGAGCAAGACCAAAUAGGGAAGGGAUGAAGCGGCCCGCUGAGCCUUCCGGGUUGUGUCGCUGGAGCUUUUAGGUAACUGAAAGCCUAGAUAAAUGAUUGUCACCGCUUAGCGGAACAGAACUCGGCUUAUUGAAC